GGUGGUUCAAGUCCACUCAGGCCUACCAAAUUCGCUCCCGCGCUUUGUUGUGGCAAAGCUCGCAUACUUCAGUAUGCUUCGCUUCACCACGCCGGGCCCGGAAACGAAUUGGGGAUGAGGUUUAACUACACUGUAUGGGGCUAUAGCUCAGCUGGGAGAGCGCCUGCUUUGCACGCAGGAGGUCUGCGGUUCGAUCCCGCAUAGCUCCACCAUCACUGUGGAACGUUGAUAAAAAAAUACUUCAGAGUGUACCUGAAAGGGUUCACUGCGA
rnacentral:misc_RNA from 1 species